rnacentral:rRNA from 1 species
GAUGAACGCUGGCGGCGUGCCUAAUACAUGCAAGUCGAGCGAACAGACGAGGAGCUUGCUCCUCUGACGUUAGCGGCGGACGGGUGAGUAACACGUGGAUAACCUACCUAUAAGACUGGGAUAACUUCGGGAAACCGGAGCUAAUACCGGAUAAUAUAUUGAACCGCAUGGUUCAAUAGUGAAAGACGGUUUUGCUGUCACUUAUAGAUGGAUCCGCGCCGCAUUAGCUAGUUGGUAAGGUAACGGCUUACCAAGGCAACGAUGCGUAGCCGACCUGAGAGGGUGAUCGGCCACACUGGAACUGAGACGCGGUCCAGACUCCUAAGGGAGGCAGCAGAAGGGAAUCUUCCGCAAUAGGCGAAAGCAUGACGGAGCAACGCCGCGUGAGUGAUGAAGAUGUUCGGAACGUGAAGCUCUGUUAUUAGGGAAGAACAAAUGUGUAAGUAACUAUGCACGUCUUGACGGUACCUAAUCAGAAAGCCACGGCUAACUACGUG